UUUACAGGAGCUGCAACAUUUAAUUGCCAAUUUCUUUGUUUAGACCAACUUGAGACCUUGAAAGAAGAACCAAGAUUGUGACUUUUUGAGACUGAUAGUGAUCUAAGCUUGAAAAGCUUAGUUCUUUGUGAUGCAAAGCCAGUUCUGGGUUGAGGGUAGAUUCUAGGGAGGGGUCUUAGGCCACAUUCUGAUAAGACCCAAGAAGCAGCCAUUAACGACCCAGAAGCUGAAAAUGCAAGAUUCCACCCACAGCCAGUCUAUGGACUACAAAAAGAAGAAAAUGAAAGAACCUAGAAAUUGGAAAGGAGAGGAAGAGAUAACACAAGUAUUUCUCUCCCCCACUUCCAGCUACUGAAUUCUCAACCUGUGCUUUUUGUUGCUUGUCCUCUCUAUCUUUCUACAUCUCUUUAAGCAUAUUAUAUACCCGUGGUCCUCUCUGUCCCAUGCUUUUCUGAGGUUUCAUUUCAUAUGCGUGUGCCUAACUUUCGGCUUGG
rnacentral:misc_RNA from 1 species